rnacentral:rRNA from 1 species
AUUGAACGCUGGCGGCAGGCCUAACACAUGCAAGUCGAGCGAGCGGCGGACGGGUGAGUAAUGUCUGGGAAACUGUCUGUUGUAGGGGGAUAACUCCUGGAAACCGUAUCUAAUACCGCAUACCCUCAGAUGUGCCCAGAUGGGAUUAGCUAGUAGGUGGGGUAACGGCUCACCUAGGCGACGAUCCCUAGAUGGUCUGAGAGGAUGACACGCCACACGGGAACUGAGACACGGUCCAGACUCCUACGGGAGGCAGCAGUGGGGAAUAUUGCACAAUGGGCGAAAGCCUGAUGCAGCCAUGCCGCGUGUGUGAAGAAGGCCUUCGGGUUGUAAAGCACUUUCAGCGGGGAGGCGUUACCCGCAGAAGAAGCACCGGCUAACUCCGUGCCAGCAGCCGCGGUAAUUC